rnacentral:rRNA from 1 species
ACCAGACAGUUCUUCGGAGCUGUUCGGAAGUAUUUAUUAGAUAAAACAAGGCCAAGUCAGCCGGUAAAACGGUUGGACUAAGGUGAAUCAUAAUAACUGUUCGGACCGCAAGGUGCUUCGCGCACGGCGGUAGGUCAUUCAAAUUUCUGCCCUAUCAGCUUUCGAUGGUAGUGUAGUGGACUACCAUGGCAUUGACGGGUAACGGAGAAUUAGGGUUCGAUUCCGGAGAGGGAGCCUGAGAAAUGGCUACCACAUCCAAGGAUGGCAGCAGGCGCGCAAAAUCCCCAAUCCUGAUUCAGGGAGGGUGUGACAAAAAAUAACAAUACUGGAUCUAACGGUCUGGUAAUUGGAAUGAGUACAACUUAAAUCCCUUAACGAGGUUCAAUUGGAGGGCAAGUCUGGUGCCAGCAGCCGCGGUAAUUCCAGCUCCAAUAGCGUAUACUAAAAUUGUUGCAGUUAAAAAGCUCGUAGUUGGAUUUCUGGCAAGGAGAGGUUAUUGAGCUCCGUGUGUUAGGGUAACACCUGGCGCAUGUUGGGUUCAGUAUUCACCUUUCUGCCAUCAUUCGUGGAGAGUAACUCGGCUCUUAAUUGAGUUGGGCUAUAAUCCCGAUCAAUUACUUUGAAAAAAUUAGAGUGUUCAAAGCAGGCGUAAGCAAUGAAUACAUUAGCAUGGAAUAAUGAGAAUGGACUUUAGUCCUAAUCAUUGGUUGUCAGGACCGAAGCCUAUUGAUAGGGAUAGUUGGGGGUGCUAGUAUUCAACGGCCAGAGGCGAAAUUCUGUGAUUCGUUGAGGACUAACAAAUGCGAAAGCAUUCACCAAGGAUGUCUUCUUUAAUCAAGAACGAAGUUGGGGGAUCGAAGACGAUCAGAUACCGUCGUAGUCUCAACCAUAAACAAUGCCAACUAGGGAUUGGUGGACGUUAGACUAACAAUCAAGACUCCAUCAGCACCUUAUGAGAAAUUAAGAGUCUUUGGGUUCCGGGGGAAGUCCGAUCGCAAGGUUGAAACUUAAAGGAAUUGACGGAAGGACACCACCAGAAAUGGAGCCUGCGGCUUAAUUUGACCCAACACGGGAAAACUUACCAGGUCCGGACAUAGUGAGGAUUGACAGAUUGAAGAUCUUUCUUGAUUCUAUGGGUGGUGGUGCAUGGUCGUUCUUAGUUGGUGGAGUGAUUGUCUGGUUAAUUCCGUUAACGAACGAGACCUCAGCCUGCUAAGUAGAUGGGUGAAAUGCUGACUCGUUUAGCUUUUUGCUUCAGGAGUAGUCCUUCGGGAUUGCUUCUUCAUCUUCUUAGAGGGACUUUUGGUGUCUAGCCAAAGGAAGUUUGAGGCAAUAACAGGUCUGUGAUGCCCUUAGAUGUUCUGGGCUGCACGUGCGCUACACUGUUGU